AGAGAGAGACAUGCGCGCAUAUCAAUAAGCGGAGGAAAAGAAACUAACAAGGAUUCCCCUAGUAACGGCGAGUGAAGCGGGAAGAGCUCAAAUUUGAAAUCUUAAAGGGUUUCCCUUUACGAAAUUGUAGUUUAAAGAAGUGUUUUCUGUUGAGGUUUUGGUAAAAGUUCUUUGGAAUAGGACAUCAUAGAGGGUGAGAAUCCCGUAUUUGACCUUUACUUUCAACAUUUGUGAUACACUUUCAAAGAGUCGGAUUGUUUGGGAAUGCAGUCCAAAAUGGGUGGUAAAUUUCAUCUAAAGCUAAAUAUUGGCGAGAGACCGAUAGCGAACAAGUACCGUGAGGGAAAGAUGAAAAGAACUUUGAAAAGAGAGUUAAACAGUACGUGAAAUUGUCAAAAGGGAAGCGUUUGACACCAGUGUUGUUUUUCUGAAAAUCAAUUAAAGAACUGUUUAUGCUAAGUUGUUUAGACUUUAUCAGCUAACUGUUUAGUUUUGAGCUUUUCUUUAAUGCACUUUUCAGUUAACAAGUCAACAUCAAUUUCUUUUGCUGUAAAAAAGCUUGAGGAAGGUGGCUUGAGAUUCGUCUUAAGUGUUUAUAGCCUCUUGCCUAUGCAGUCGGAGAGAUUGAGGUCUGCAGCGUAGAUCCUUCGGGGCUAAAUGCAUUUGUGCUAAGUUAUAGCAUUUUAUAGACAACUUGUUGACUAUGAUUUGUCUUGUAGCUUACUCGCUUAUGUUAUUUUACCUACGCUUAGGAUGUUGAGCGCAUGUCUCUCUCU
rnacentral:rRNA from 1 species